AGUGAACGCUGGCGGUAGGCCUAACACAUGCAAGUCGAACGGCAGCACAGUAAGAGCUUGCUCUUACGGGUGGCGAGUGGCGGACGGGUGAGGAAUACAUCGGAAUCUACUUUUUCGUGGGGGAUAACGUAGGGAAACUUACGCUAAUACCGCAUACGACCUACGGGUGAAAGCAGGGGAUCUUCGGACCUUGCGCGAUUGAAUGAGCCGAUGUCGGAUUAGCUAGUUGGCGGGGUAAAGGCCCACCAAGGCGACGAUCCGUAGCUGGUCUGAGAGGAUGAUCAGCCACACUGGAACUGAGACACGGACCAGACACCUACGGGAGGCAGCAGUGGGGAAUAUUGGACAAUGGGCGCAGGCCUGAUCCAGCCAUACCGCGUGGGUGAAGAAGGCCUUCGGGUUGUAAAGCCCUUUUGUUGGGAAAGAAAAGCAGCAGGUUAAUACCCCGCUGUUCUGACGGUACCCAAAGAAUAAGCACCGGCUAACUUCGUG
rnacentral:rRNA from 1 species